UACGUAGGGUGCAAGCGUUAAUCGGAAUUACUGGGCGUAAAGCGUGCGCAGGCGGUUAUGGAAGACAGGGGGGAAAUCCCCGGGCUUAACCUGGGAAUUGCAUUUGUGACUGUAUGGCUAGAGUGUGUCAGAGGGGGGUAGAAUUCCACGUGUAGCAGUGAAAUGCGUAGAUAUGUGGAGGAAUACCGAUGGCGAAGGCAGCCCCCUGGGAUAACACUGACGCUCAUGCACGAAAGCGUAGGGAGCAAACAGG
rnacentral:rRNA from 1 species